UACGAAGGGGGCUAGCGUUAAUCGGAAUUACUGGGCGUAAAGCGCACGCAGGUGGCUGAGUCAGUCGAUUGUGAAAGCCCUGGCUUAACCUGGGAAUUGCAGUCGAUACUACUCAGCUAGAGUAUGGGAGAGGGUAGUGGAAUUCCGGUGUAGCGGUGAAAUGCGUAGAUAUACGGGAGGAACACCUGUGGCGAAAGCGGCGCACUGGACCACAACUGACGCUGAGGCGCGAAAGCGUGGGGAGCGAACAGG
rnacentral:rRNA from 1 species